GAUGAACGCUAGCGGCAGGCUUAAUACAUGCAAGUCGAGGGGCAGCAUGACUGUAGCAAUACAGUUGAUGGCGACCGGCAAACGGGUGCGGAACACGUACAGAACCUUCCUUCGAGCGGGGAAUAGCCCAGAGAAAUUUGGAUUAAUACCCCAUAGUACAUUGGAGUGGCAUCACUUUAAUGUUAAAGAUUUAUCACUUGAAGAUGGCUGUGCGGCUGAUUAGGUAGUUGGCGGGGUAACGGCCCACCAAGCCUGCGAUCAGUAACUGGUGUGAGAGCACGACCAGUCACACGGGCACUGAGACACGGGCCCGACUCCUACGGGAGGCAGCAGUAAGGAAUAUUGGUCAAUGGACGAAAGUCUGAACCAGCCAUGCCGCGUGGAGGAUGAAGGUCCUCUGGAUUGUAAACUUCUUUUAUAUGGGACGAAAAAAGGCUUUUCUAAGUCGUCUGACGGUACCAUAUGAAUAAGCACCGGCUAACUCCGUGCCAGCAGCCGCGGUAAUACGGAGGGUGCAAGCGUUAUCCGGAUUCACUGGGUUUAAAGGGUGCGUAGGUGGGUUGGUAAGUCAGUGGUGAAAUCCCCGAGCUUAACUUGGGGACUGCCAUUGAUACUAUUAAUCUUGAAUACCGUGGAGGUCGGCGGAAUAUGUCAUGUAGCGGUGAAAUGCUUAGAUAUGACAUAGAACACCAAUUGCGAAGGCAGCUGGCUACACGAGUAUUGACACUGAGGCACGAAAGCGUGGGGAUCAAACAGGAUUAGAUACCCUGGUAGUCCACGCCCUAAACUAUGGAUACUCGACAUUUGCGAUACACAGUAAGUGUCUGAGCGAAAGCAUUAAGUAUCCCACCUGGGAAGUACGAUCGCGAGAUUGAAACUCAAAGGAAUUGGCGGG
rnacentral:rRNA from 1 species